rnacentral:lncRNA from 1 species
GUCCAGUGAAUUUUUUGACUCGACACGAGGCAGAUCUUAGCUAAAAAUGACAAAGCCAAAAACCAAACCAUGCCCUUCCUGUCAGGCUCCAAACACCUGCAACAGGAAGACAUGCAGUGGAUGCCUGGGCAGCCUGAACGUAAAGGAGGGAUUAAAAAAAACAAGAACAGUUUAAAAACAGUAACUGGGCUGCCUCUGUUUAAAAAAAAAACAGAAAUGCGAGCAGGGUGGUUAAUUCAGCCCAGUUGUCAGUUUCAAAACUACAUGCCCUGGCCUACCAGCCAAUUCUGUUUCUUGGACAGUUUGACCGAAAGGGCCGUAUAGUAGGGGAUGUGAUCACUCAGAUCGAACCAGCGGAAGGUGCUGCACGUGACAUCCUCAUGAAGAUGAGGAAACUUUAUGAACACCUUCUGAGAAAAUUACAAGCUUCACCUCCUGCUGAAAGUUCUAUACCAGCAGCUGGACCAUCCUCUGCUGACAGUGUCGAUGCUGGACCAGUCCCAGACCCAGAGGCUCUAAACGAGGAAUUUAUUCUGCAUUUAGAGCCUGUACCAACAUCUUCCCUCUGUCAGCCUCCUGCAUCCUCCUCUCCAUCUCUGCUUCCUCCUGCACCCUCCUCUUCAUCUCUGCUUCCUCCUGCAUCCUCCUCUCUGUCUUUGCUUCCUCCUGCAUCCUCCUCUCCAUCUCUGCUUCGUCCUGCAUCCUCCUCUCUGUCUUUGCUUCCUCCUGCAUCCUCCUCUCCAUCUCUGCUUCCUCCUGCAUGCUCCUCUUCGUCUGUGCUUCCUCCUGCAUCCUCCUCUCAAUCUCCGCUUCCUGCAUCUCCCUCAAUUUCUACGGCGUACACCUCGGAUGUCCCAAACAAAAAAAGGACAAGGAAAGGUUAG